UACGGGGGGGGCAAGCGUUGUUCGGAAUUACUGGGCGUAAAGGGUUCGUAGGUGGCUGGCUAAGUCAGACGUGAAAUCCCUCAGCUCAACUGGGGAACUGCGUCUGAGACUGGUCAGCUUGAGUGCAGGAGAGGAACGCGGAAUUCCAGGUGUAGCGGUGAAAUGCGUAGAUAUCGGGAGGAACACCAGUGGCGAAGGCGACUACCUGGCCUGUUCUUGACGCUGAGGCGCGAAAGCUAGGGGAGCAAACGGG
rnacentral:rRNA from 1 species